rnacentral:rRNA from 1 species
CACGUAGGGGGCGAGCGUUGUCCGGAGUUACUGGGCGUAAAGGGCAUGCAGGCGGUCGGACGCGUUUCGGGUGACAGCGGGUGGCUUAACUACCCGAGUGGUCGAAAGACGGUUUGACUUGAGGACGCGAGAGGGACACGGAAUUCCGGGUGGAGUGGUGAAAUGCGUAGAGAUCCGGAGGAACACCGAAGGCGAAGGCAGUGUCCUGGCGCGUAACUGACGCUGAGGUGCGAAAGCCAGGGGAGCGAACGGG